rnacentral:rRNA from 1 species
AUUGAACGCUGGCGGCAUGCCUUACACAUGCAAGUCGAACGGCAGCGCGGGGCAACCUGGCGGCGAGUGGCGAACGGGUGAGUAAUAUAUCGGAACAUACCCUAGAGUGGGGAUAACGUAGCGAAAGUUACGCUAAUACCGCAUACGCACUAAGGUGGAAAGUGGGGGAUCUUCGGACCUCAUGCUCAUGGAGUGGCCGAUAUCUGAUUAGCUAGUUGGUGAGGUAAAGGCUCACCAAGGCGACGAUCAGUAGCUGGUUUGAGAGAACGACCAGCCACACUGGAACUGAGACACGGUCCAGACUCCUACGGAGGCAGCAGUGGGGAAUUUUGGACAAUGGGGGCAACCCUGAUCCAGCAAUGCCGCGUGAGUGAAGAAGGCCUCGGUGUAAGACUCUUUGUCUAGGGAGAACGGUAGAGAGCUAAUAUACU